UACGUAGGGCGCAAGCGUUGUCCGGAAUUAUUGGGCGUAAAGAGCUCGUAGGCGGCUUGUCACGUCGAUUGUGAAAGCCCGAGGCUUAACCUCGGGUCUGCAGUCGAUACGGGCUAGCUAGAGUGUGGUAGGGGAGAUCGGAAUUCCUGGUGUAGCGGUGAAAUGCGCAGAUAUCAGGAGGAACACCGGUGGCGAAGGCGGAUCUCUGGGCCAUUACUGACGCUGAGACACGAAAGCGUGGGUAGCAAACAGG
rnacentral:rRNA from 1 species